rnacentral:lncRNA from 1 species
UUUAUAGCCAAACCAACGAGUUUCUCAUAAGAAUCCUUACAACGGUAAGAGUGGGCUUUCUGGUGCCACUCUCAGCUCCUUAUGAGAAGCAAGUGAGCAGAGCGAACGAUAUUAGGAGAAAUAGAGGAACAGUACUGCCUUGAAGUGCGUCCCUCGAUCUUAAGGAGGGACUCAGCUUGCCUGAUUCGAUCAGUUAUCGAGGGGAGGCCCC